AUACACCGGGCCAGCUUCUCCUCCUCCCAGAGCGGCCCGUCGGAAUGACGGAACUCCUCCUCCCAGCCGUCGUUCGGUUCUUUUCGAAAAGCCUGCCGCACCUCCUCCCGCGGCAGGCUUUUCGU
rnacentral:sRNA from 1 species